rnacentral:rRNA from 1 species
AUUGAACGCUGGCGGCAGGCUUAACACAUGCAAGUCGAGCGGGGUGAUGGUGCUUGCACUAUCACUUAGCGGCGGACGGGUGAGUAAUGCUUAGGAAUCUGCCUAUUAGUGGGGGACAACAUCUCGAAAGGGAUUCUAAUACCGCAUACGUUCUACGGGAGAAAGCAGGGGAUCACUUGUGACAUUGCGCUCAUAGAUGAGCCUAAGUCGGAUUAGCUAGUUGGUGGGGUAAAGGCCUACCAAGGCGACGAUCUGUAGCGGGUCUGAGAGGAUGAUUCGCCACACUGGGACUGAGACACGGCCCAGACUCCUACGGGAGGCAGCAGGGGGAAUAUUGGACAAUGGGGGGAACCCUGAUCCAGCCAUGCCGCGUGUGUGAAGAAGGCCUUAUGGUUGUAAAGCACUUUAAGCGAGGAGGAGGCUCUUUUGGUUAAUACCCAAGAUGAGUGGACGUUACUCGCAGAAUAAGCACCGGCUAACUCUGUGCCAGCCGCCGCGGUAA